UACGUAGGGGGCAAGCGUUGUCCGGAAUCAUUGGGCGUAAAGAGCGUGUAGGCGGCCCGAUAAGUCCGCUGUGAAAGUCCAGGGCUCAACCUCGAGAUGUCGGCGGAAACCACUUGGCUAGAGUCCGGAAGAGGAGAGUGGAAUUCCUGGUGUAGCGGUGAAAUGCGCAGAUAUCAGGAAGAACACCUAUGGCGAAGGCAGCUCUCUGGGACGGUACUGACGCUGAGACGCGAAAGCGUGGGGAGCGAACAGG
rnacentral:rRNA from 1 species